UAGAUACCCCACUAUGCUUAGCCGUAAAAUAUUAACCCACACUCAACCCGCCAGGGAAUUACAAGCCCAAGCUUAAAACCCAAAGGACUUGACGGUGCCCCAUCCCUCUAGAGGAGCCUGUUCUAUAAUCGAUUUUCCCCGAUCCACCUCACCGUUCCUUGAAUAUCCAGUCUGUAUACCUCCGUCGUAAGCUUACCAUGUGAACGCACUCAGUGAGCCUAAAGAUUUUACAUCAACACGUCAGGUCAAGGUGCAGCCCACGGAACGGGAAGAAAUGGGCUACAAUCUCUACCUUUAGAACAAACGGAAAACUGCGUGAAACACAGUUACUGAAGGCGGAUUUAGUAGUAAAAAGAAAAUAGAGAGUUCUUUUUAAUCAGGCCCUGGGACGCGUACACACCGCCCGUCACCCUCUUCAAACAGAAAAAUUCAAGUCUCUAACACCAUACAAUUGUAUAGAAGAGGCAAGUCGUAACAUGGUAAGUGUACUGGAAAGUGCACUUGGUAUAACAAAAUGUAGCUUAACAAAAGUAUCCUGCUUACACCUAGACCAUGUCCGUGAAACCCUGACCAUUUUGAGCCUAAAUCUUAGCCCUAUUUUUUCUUAUGAAAAACUUUACCCCCUCCCCCUCCAAAAAACAUUCUUUUAACCAAGUAAAGGCGAUUAAAAAGUUAUUAGGAGCCCCAGAACCAGUACCGCAAGGGAAAAUUGAAAUAAAAAUGAAAUAAAUUUAAAGCACCACAAAGUAGAGACUUCCCCUCGUACCUUUUGC
rnacentral:rRNA from 1 species